GACGUAUCAUUUGAUUUUUGGCAUUAGUAACUAAGUUCUUAAAGCAUAUUUAAAUUGGAAAGGCCAUCAGACGCACAAAUAUUCUUUAUCAAGGCGGUCGCAUUCACUCAGAACAGUGCAAACUCGAUUCAUAAAUGGAUAAAUUAAAAAUAUUUGUGCUCGUUAUUGCCUUUACGUUAAUAACCAUGUCGGAAGGUGUGCCGGAGUCAGACGAAACGGAAAUGAAACCAACUAAACCAGUCCCAGCCAAUUCGCCAAAAUUAGAACAUCCUGAGGGCCAUGUGAUUAAAAACGAAAAGAAGCCGGAACAAAACACAGCGACUGUCCAAGAAGCGAUAAAUGUACUAUUAGGAGUGCCCGUACAAUAUUGAAGUGGUUCUUUAUGACAUUAUAUAAAUUUCAUGAUUUUAAUCUUCGUAUUAAUAAAAAUAAAUUACAUGUCAAAUAUCAAAA